UCCGAGUGGGGAAUAACUUCGGGAAACCGAGGCUAAUACCGCAUAAUACCCACGGGUCAAAGGAGCAAUUCGCUUGAGGAGGAGGUCGCGGCCGAUUAGUUAGUUGGCGGGGUAAUGGCCCCACCAAGACGGUGAUCGGUAUCCGGCCUGAGAGGGCGCACGGACACACUGGAACUGAAACACGGUCCAGACUCCUACGGGAGGCAGCAGUGGGGAAUUUUGCGCAAUGGGGGAAACCCUGACGCAGCAACGCCGCGUGGAGGAUGAAGUCUCUUGGGACGUAAACUCCUUUCGAUCGGGACGAUUAUGACGGUACCGGAAGAAGAAGCCCCGGCUAACUUCGUG
rnacentral:rRNA from 1 species